AUUGGCCUUCUUGGUCACCAGGGCACACACUGGCUCAUGUUUGGCCACUGUUGGCAUUUCAGUGAAGAAUUUGCACAGCUUCAGUCCUGGCUGCAUGUAAGAAGCAAAGAAAUAGAAGAGGGACAAAAUGAAAUCUAAAAGAGGAGCAAAACCAAAAUGAAGGGACAACCCUCUCCAGAUGAGCUAAAUAUUCCUUCCACCUCCCUAAAAGACAGCAAGAUCUUGAGCUACACUCCCAGCUUUCCUGCAUUCAGGAAAGAAGAAUGCAUUGCAAGUGAAAGAACAGGAAAGAAUGAAGAAUUGUGGUAUAGCUGCAUAUCUGGAACAGCCUCAAAGAAAUUACAGACACUGCAAACAUAAAACCACUGACUGAAUUAAUUAACUAAUGAAAUUUCAUUUCUCAUUUCUCUCAU